rnacentral:rRNA from 1 species
CCUACGGGUGGCAGCAGUGAGGAAUAUUGGUCAAUGGGAGAGAUCCUGAACCAGCCAAGCCGCGUGAGGGAAGACGGCCCUAUGGGUUGUAAACCUCUUUUGUCGGAGAACAAAACCCGGGACGUGUCCCGGACUGCGUGUAUCCGAAGAAAAAGCAUCGGCUAACUCCGUGCCAGCAGCCGCGGUAAUCAGGAGGAUGCGAGCGUUAUCCGGAUUUAUUGGGUUUAAAGGGGGCGUGGGCGGUCCGUUAAGUCAGCGGGAAAAUGGCGGGGCUCAACCCCGUCGAGCCGUUGAAACUGGCAGACUUGAGUUGGCGAGAAGUACGCGGAAUGCGCGGGGUAGCGGUGAAAUGCUUAGAUAUCACGAAGAACUCCGAUUGCGAAGGCAGUUCACUGGACUGCAACUGACACUGAGGCUCGAAAGUGUGGGUAUCAAACAGGAUUAGAUACCCUUGUAGUC